rnacentral:rRNA from 1 species
CGGUUGAUCCUGCCGGAGGUUACUGCUAUCGAGGUCCGACUAAGCCAUGCGAGUCGAAUGUAGCAAUACAUGGCGUACUGCUCAGUAACACGUGGACAACCUACCCUCAGCACGGGGAUAAACCCGGGAAACUGGGUAUAAUACCCGAUAGUUCUGGUAUGCUGGAAUGCUAUCAGGACGAAAGCUCCGGCGACUGAGGAUGGGUCUGCGGCCUAUCAGGUAGUAGUGGGUGUAAUGUACCUACUAGCCUACGAUGGGUACGGGUCGUGAGAGCGAGAGCCCGGAGAUGGAUUCUGAGACACGAAUCCAGGCCCUACGGGGUGCAGCAGGCGCGAAAACUUUACAAUGCUGGCAACAGCGAUAAGGGGACCUCGAGUGCCAGGAUACAAUCUUGGCUGUCGUAAUGCCUAAAAAGCAUUGCAUAGCAAGGGCCGGGCAAGACCGGUGCCAGCCGCCGCGGUAACACCGGCGGCUCGAGUGGUAACCGCUAUUAUUGGGUCUAAAGGGUCUGUAGCCGGCCGGAUAAGUCUCUUGGGAAAUCCAGCAGCUCAACUGUUGGGCUUUCAGGAGAUACUGUUUCGGCUCGAGGCCGGGAGAGGUGAGAGGUACUUCAGGGGUAGGGGUGAAAUCUCGUAAUCCUUGGGGGACCACCGAUGGCGAAGGCAUCCCACCAGAACGGGUCCGACGGUGAGGGACGAAAGCUGGGGGAGCGAACCGGAUUAGAUACCCGGGUAGUCCCAGCUGUAAACGAUGCUGGCUAGGUGUUGGAGCGGCUACGAGCCGCUUCAGUGCCGCAGGGAAGCCAUUAAGCCAGCCGCCUGGGGAGUACGGCCGCAAGGCUGAAACUUAAAGGAAUUGGCGGGGGAGCACCACAAGGGGUGAAGCUUGCGGUUUAAUUGGAGUCAACGCCGGGAACCUUACCGGGCGCGACAGCAGGAUGAAAGCCAGAUUGAAGGUCUUGCUGGACGAGCUGAGAGGAGGUGCAUGGCCGUCGCCAGUUCGUGCCGUGAGGUGUCCUGUUAAGUCAGGCAACGAUCGAGACCCACGCCCCCUGUUGCCACCGAGGAGUUUUCCAAGGGGCACUCUGGGGGAACUGCCAACGAUAAGUUGGAGGAAGGGGUGGGCUACGGCAGGUCAGUAUGCCCCGAAUCCCCCGGGCCACACGCGAGCUGCAAUGGCUGGGACAGUGGGUUCCGACCCCGAGAGGGGGAGGUAAUCCCGAAACCCGGCCUCAGUUGGGAUCGAGGGCUGUAACCCGCCCUCGUGAACAUGGAAUCCCUAGUAAUCGCGCGUCAUCAGCGCGCGGUGAAUACGUCCCUGCUCCUUGCACACACCGCCCGUCGUUCCACUCGAGUGGGUUUAGGAUGGGGCGUGGUCUUUUGUGGCUGUGUCGAAUCCUAGGUUCGCGAGAGGGGAAAAGUCGUAACAAGGUAGCC